rnacentral:rRNA from 1 species
CAUGAAGCUGGAAUCGCUAGUAAUCGCAGAUCAGAAUGCUGCGGUGAAUACGUUCCCGGGUCUUGUACACACCGCCCGUCACACCAUGGGAGUUGGAAAUGCCCGAAGUCAGUGACCGAACCGAAAGGAAGGAGCUGCCGAAGGUGGAGCCGAUGACUGGGGUGAAGUCGUAACAAGGUAGC